rnacentral:rRNA from 1 species
GAUGAACGCUGGCGGCGUGCCUAAUACAUGCAAGUCGAGCGAACAGACGAGGAGCUUGCUCCUCUGACGUUAGCGGCGGACGGGUGAGUAACACGUGGAUAACCUACCUAUAAGACUGGGAUAACUUCGGGAAACCGGAGCUAAUACCGGAUAAUAUAUUGAACCGCAUGGUUCAAUAGUGAAAGACGGUUUUGCUGUCACUUAUAGAUGGAUCCGCGCCGCAUUAGCUAGUUGGUAAGGUAACGGCUUACCAAGGCAACGAUGCGUAGCCGACCUGAGAGGGUGAUCGGCCACACUGGAACGGAGACACGGUCCAGACUCCUACGGGAGGCAGCAGUGGGGAAUAUUACACAAUGGGCGAAAGCCUGACGGAGCAACGCCGCGUGAAUGAAGAAGGUCUUCGGUUCGUAAAACUCUUUUAUUGGGGAAGAACAAAUGUGGAAGAAAAUACGCACGUCUUGACGGUACCUAAUCAAAAAGCACCGGCUAACUACGUG